UAAGCAUAUCACUAAGCGGAGGAAAAGAAACUAACAAGGAUUCCCCUAGUAACGGCGAGUGAACAGGGACAAGCCCAUCACCGAAGUCUGUGCCCAUUUGGUCACUAGACAAUGUGGUGUUUAGGUCGAUUCGCGGAGGCACUGCUCCACCCUAAGUCCAGCAAUGAGUACGGUGGUGUGGAUAUGGCCCACAGAGGGUGAAAGGCCCGUGGGGGUGGAGGUCAGGUGUGUCAGUGUCUCUCUGAGUAGAUCUUGGAGUCGGGUUGUUUGUGAAUGCAGCCCAAAGUGGGUGGUAAACUCCAUCCAAGGCUAAAUACUAGCACGAGUCCGAUAGCAAACAAGUACCGUGAGGGAAAGUUGAAAAGUACUUUGAAGAGAGAGUAAACAGUGCGUGAAACCGCUCAGAAGUAAACGGGUGGAGUUGAACUGCAAACACUGAGAAUUCAAACGGUGGGUAUGGCUUAGACUUGGUUGAUUCGGUUGAGCUCGAGAGUCUGUGUGGUGACAGGUCACCGCCUUGUGGUGGUGGUGCGCGGUGCACUUACCAUGUGUUGUGCGCUCUCGAUGCUUCGUAUCGACCUGCCGUUGCACUUUCUCAGUGUGAUCACCACGACCGAUGCUGCUGUCAGGCUAUUGUGAUCAAACUGUUCCCACUUAGUCCUUGUGACUUUGUUGGUAUGGGAUGGCAGGUAACUCGGUAGGUCUAUUGCCUGUGGUUCGCCUCAGGUGUUGUCAUAUCGAGUGUAAGGAGCCGAUUGCAAUGGUUCUGUGCAGUGUGUCGGAGAUGACGGCUUGUGGUGUGUGUGUGCGCACCAGUUUGAUCGGCGUUUUCGAGUCUGGUUAUGUAGUUGCCUGUUAAAGCAGGCCUUGUAAUGGCUGGAGUUCGUUCGAUUGAUGGUUGUGUAUACGACACGUGUAAGGGCCAAUAGUCUGUGGUGUAGUAGUAGACUAUCCACCUGACCCGUCUUGAAACACGGACCAAGGAGAGUAACAUGUACGCGAGUCACUGGGCACUACGAAACCCAGGGGCACAGUGAAAGUAAUGGUCUGGUUUGUGACCAGAUUGUGGUGAGAUCCUGCCGUUUCUCACACGUGGUACCACCAAGCAUGGAGCGGUAGGCGCAUCAUCGGCCCGUCCCAUGACAACUGUUUUCAAACAAUACUCAGUCGGGGUGGAGCAUGAGCGUACAUGUUGCGACCCGAAAGAUGGUGAACUAUGCUUGUGCAGGUUGAAGCCAGAGGAAACUCUGGUGGAGGACCGCAACGAUUCUGACGUGCAAAUCGAUCGCCAGACAUGAGUAUAGGGGCGAAAGACUAAUCGAACCAUCUAGUAGCUGGUUCCCUCC
rnacentral:rRNA from 1 species